rnacentral:rRNA from 1 species
CCUACGGGAGGCAGCAGUGGGGAAUAUUGCACAAUGGGGGAAACGCUGAUGCAGCGACGCCGCGUGAGUGAAGAAGUAACUCGUUAUGUAAAGCCCUAUCAGCAGGGAAGAAAAUGACGGUACCUGAGUAAGAAGCCCCGGCUAACUACGUGCCAGCAGCCGCGGUAAUACGUAGGGAGCAAGCGUUAUCCGGAUUUACUGGGUGUAAAGGGAGCGUAGACGGCAGUGCAAGUCUGGAGUGAAAGGCGGGGGCUCAACCCCCGGACUGCUCUGGAAACUGUACGGCUGGAGUGCAGGAGGGGUAAGUGGAAUGCGUAGUGUAGCGGUGAAAUGCGUAGAUAUUAGGAGGAACACCAGUGGCGAAGGCGGCUUACUGGAGUGUAACUGACGUUGAGGCUCGAAAGCGUGGGGAGCGAACAGGAUUAGAUACCCCUGUAGUC